GCUGCUCCCCGAGCUGACCCGCGGUCACUGUGCUAUCGGGUCCCGGUAUUCGUGACCUGCUCGACAGGUACACUUCCACAUUCUAAAAACCUUUUUCGAGUCAAGGCAACGACGGAGACAAAUCAAACGCUGUUACGUCUUGUCGUUUUCUUGGCUGCUAUAAAUAACGCCGGAGAGGAGCUGAACUUCGGAGGGAGCGCCCCGUUGCUGGCCGCCGUGUAAUUCCCUGACCUUCUCCCAAGCGAUCCCACACAGAUUUGUACCACAGAGAUGUGAAUUCAUCUCCUUCUAUAUAGAGACGAAGAUGAAGCCAUCAGGAUGAUAAAUUUGACACGAGACUUUAAAUAGCCGCCAUCGCACGUGGCGGAUUAGCAGCUACUGAAAUUGUUAAUGUGGCAGGUAGAACGGUGGCAAUUUGAAGGGUUCAAGCAGAGGCUAGAAGACACACAAAACACACACACAUACAUGGACAUAAUAUCAAUGUAUAAAUGGAGAAAGUAUUGCCACCAUUUUGGCUAAUAAAAGUAUCAGCAAAGUAAAACCUAUAAGGACUAAUGGAAAGUUAUGUUUCUAAUACAAUCUUGAUGAGUAGAUACAAAACCAAGUUUUCAGGUGUUCUCUUGUUGUGCUGCAGCAGGACUGUGCCAACAUGCUCAUUAAACAUUUAGCGCCA